rnacentral:rRNA from 1 species
GACGAAGGAUGCAAGCGUUAUCCGGAAUCAUUGGGCUUAAAGGGCGCGUAGGCGGCCUGCUAAGUCAGCGGUGAAAUCUCUGGGCUUAACCCAGAAAUUGCCAUUGAUACUGGUGGGCUUGAGUGCAGUUGCUGUUGGCGGAAUAUGACAUGUAGUGGUGAAAUACAUAGAGAUGUCAUAGAACACCGAUUGCGAAGGCAGCUAACAAGACUGUAACUGACACUGAGGCUCGAAAGUGUGGGGAUCAAACAGG